rnacentral:rRNA from 1 species
AGAGUUUGAUCCUGGCUCAGGACGAACGCUGGCGGCGUGCUUAACACAUGCAAGUUGAACGGGGCAUAUUUGAAGGGUAACCGGAGGGUAUGUCUAGUGGCGAACGGGUGAGUAAUGCAUGAGAACGUAUCCUCAAGAGGGGGACAACAUUGGGAAACCGAUGCUAAUACCCCAUAAGCCGGGAGGUAAAAGGAGCAAUCCGCUUGAGGAGCGGUUCAUGUCCUAUCAGCUAGUUGGUGAGGUAACGGCUCACCAAGGCGAAGACGGGUAGCCGGCCUGAGAGGGUGAACGGCCACACUGGAACUGAGAGACGGUCCAGACUCCUACGGGAGGCAGCAGUGGGGAAUAUUGGGCAAUGGGGGAAACCCUGACCCAGCGACGCCGCGUGAGGGAAGAAGGCCUUAGGGUCGUAAACCUCUGUUGUGUGGGAAGAGCAGAAGACGGUACCAUACGAGGAAGCCCCGGCAAACUACGUGCCAGCAGCCGCGGUAAUA